rnacentral:rRNA from 1 species
AUUGAACGCUGGCGGCAGGCUUAACACAUGCAAGUCGAACGGUAACAGGCCGCAAGGUGCUGACGAGUGGCGAACGGGUGAGUAAUGCAUCGGAACGUGCCCAGUCGUGGGGGAUAACGCAGCGAAAGCUGCGCUAAUACCGCAUACGAUCUAUGGAUGAAAGCGGGGGACCGUAAGGCCUCGCGCGAUUGGAGCGGCCGAUGGCAGAUUAGGUAGUUGGUGGGGUAAAGGCUCACCAAGCCAACGAUCUGUAGCUGGUCUGAGAGGACGACCAGCCACACUGGGACUGAGACACGGCCCAGACUUCUACGGGAGGCAGCAGUGGGGAAUUUUGGACAAUGGGGGCAACCCUGAUCCAGCAAUGCCGCGUGCAGGAAGAAGGCCUUCGGGUUGUAAACUGCUUUUGUACGGAACGAAACGGUCUGGGUUAAUACCCUGGGCUAAUGACGGUACCGUAAGAAUAAGCACCGGCUAACUACGUGCCAGCCGCCGCCGUAAAAC